AUUUCUCCCAGAUAAAGGGCUGGCCUUGCUCAAUUCACACUCCCUCGGUUUGGAGAACUAAUUUCAAUUUACUUUGCUCUCUUACCCCAGGCCCCCUUUUUGAGGCCAGGUUAUAAACCCGUCUGUCCAAACAGUAACCUAAUAAGCUACAGGAUAUUCCAGAAUGUGAAACUGAUUUCUUUCAUGUGUUAAUUGUAAGCAAAACAGCGGUUUGACUCACUGGGCUCUCUCAUUUCUUAGAUGAGCACUGGCAUCAGUCACGCAGUUCCUUUGGUUUUUGCAUCGAGCAUCUGUGAAAUUUUUUCCUAAUGGAAUGGUUUUUUAAAAAUGAAAUAUUUAAUUUGUGUAUACAGAUCCCUUUUAAUAUAAUCAAGCCCUCUAUUCAGGAAAGCAGAUCUGAUGAAACAUCCUAUUUCAGUGAGGGCAAUUUAGGCUAGACAUCAGGAAAACCUAGCUAAUGAUUAAAAUAGUGAGGCACUGCUGCAGGUUGCCAGGAGAGCUUAAGGAAACUCCAUCAUGGGAAGUCUUUAAGAAUAAGUUUGGCAGCUAUUAUCAAGUAUGAUUUAGCUAUAAUUGAUCUUGACUCGGAGCAAGGGAAUGGACUGGAUGAUUUCUUCUUUUCUUGUUUUGCACAAUUUCCAAGAAAUUCUGAAAAAAAAGAGAAAAGUUUAGACAGUUCAGUAUUACCAAAUGUUCCUUCCCCUCUUUUCUAAGGGAAUUUUUUACUAAAUUUCAACUGAACGUGCAAAUAGUUGAGCACACUCUGUAAUUUAUGUCACAUGCUAAGGUCUAGACCUCUUGAGGAUGUAGCUCCACCUCCCUAAACGCUUAAAUAUUUUUUCCUUCUCCUCCUGUUCCUUAGUAGGUUUGUUGCAUCGCUAACAGCUCCUGUGAGUUGCCAUUUCUCCACUGAUGCCAAAACCUAGGCGAUCGUACUGAAAGGAGCAGAGCUGCAGCCACCUUGCAGAGCAAGGCUGAGCCAAGCCUUUUAUUUCCACAAAUAAGAAUUAGAACAGAAAGCGUUUUAAGCAAAUAUUAUUCAACUGAGCUUAAAGGAAGAGCUGAGCAUUCAGAAAAUGACUCAUUGUGCAGGCGAAGAUCAUGCACUACCUUGAAAUGUUGUCUUGAGGGCUGUUUUAUUAAAUACAUGAGUGAACUAACAGCAAAACUGAUGCAGAAUGCUGAUGGUAUCUUUGACCUUUAAAACCUUGAUGAAAUUUGUAAUUUGCUCAUUUUCUAAUUUAACAAAGCAACCAUAUUAGUCAUCCUUUACAUUUGCUUCUCCAAACUCAACGAAUACACGUGUGUGCAACUUUGUAUGUUCAGAAUCAGUAUUUCAGCCUUGUGUAUUAAAAUGCAUGAAGAUGCAUCCAAAAGAAGAUGUUGUAAGAAGUACAGAUUGCUUCCUGUUUCUCUUGCUGCAGUGAUGGACAGCAGAGAGAGAGCAAACGGAAACUAACUGCUUUUCACACCUACAAUUCAUACGCACAGGCAUUCUGACUAGUCAGAAUAGCCAGAUAACCCCAAAUCAGAACAAAUAUUGCGUGCUUUCUCUUAAACACAUUUAUCGUUCCUUUCAGACAUUUUCUUUUGGCCCGUUCAAGUUUAAAUAUUACUGUUCAGAAGCAAAAUAGUUUUACCCUGACAGCGGGGACGACCGCUUACAGCCCCCAUCACAAGUUCCGUCAAUGGCCCGACGCUGCCCAAACACCGUCUCUUGCAGAAACAGGACUCCGGGUUGUCCAAGACACCGGGCAGCUCUUCUGGAGAGUCGCCCGCUGGCACAGCGUUGCCAUUAGCAGCGUCUCCUCUCUGACGGCAGGGCUGGCGGCGACGGACGGAUUCCAGGUGUGAGGAACAGAAGCCGUACGUGGUGACGAGCCGAAGCUGGCGUCGGUACCUUUCAUACAGUACUUCUGCCCAAAUCAGCUGGAGCUAAGCACUUAAGCGCUCCGCCCUCCCAGCUUCAGAGCCUUUGCGGGUCCAGCCUUUGAGAAAGCUAAAGAAUCACCAUCUUCCAUUAUUUCAGCCUCAUUAUUUGUGCACGAGUGACUCUUCACCACCUGCUCCGCGAAGAUCUGCAUCCUUGCACAGGCGGCGGAGGCACGCGGGGAGCUGAGGUUUGGGGGCAUCAGGCACGUUGCCCGCUCCCUCCUCUCUAUGGCUUACUCGCUAUAAACAUCUCUUAAGGACACCAGAAAGAUACGGCUGUUUCUUCUGAAGGUCAGUUUGCCUUCAGCCUGGGAAUACAAGUAGAGGAGGUCUGCGGUUGGGUCACUAAGGUAGCAUUCUGCUUCUGGCCGUGGGAAAGCAUGGAGGUUAUUGGUGUAUGAAACUCUGCAGCUGUGCAUUAAAGGCUUUUCAGAAUUUAGCUUCAGCUACUCCUUAUCUUUCCAGCUGCAGAAAACUUAAACAUGUUAAACUUUUCUCCCAUUACUUGCUCUUAGACUCCACCCCGAAAUUUGUCUCCCUUUCCCCGCUUCUCAAGAUAAAAGGCUCCCAAGGAAAAGAGCAAGGAACGACCUAGAAGCUGACGACGUGUCAGUGGCUCGCCUCUCGUGAGAUGGAUGUGCUAGGACUUUGGCAUCACAGAAUAGCUAAAGGCACUCAGAUAUGGUGAAAGAAAUGAUGAAACCAGAUGUAAGGUCGAUUGAAACAGCUUCUACUGAUUCAUACUUUUAAUGUGUUUCUCGGUCCCGGUAUUUCACUGCUGUAUAUUUCCCCCCUGGAAUGCUCUGUGUGUAUGACAUCUCAGCUAGCAGCUGUGGAAAUGAUUGUGUGACCACUAAAAACUGUAGCUUUAGGUGAGAAAUGAGCAACAGGGACAAAGAAAGUAUUAAUGUGCAGUUUUCUCUCCUCAUGUACAUCUCAUUAGCGCUGAGGGAAGGAAUGACACCCUGCAGGAUCAUGGAAUAAUUUAGGUUGGGAGGGACCUCCAGAGGUCCCUCGUCCAUCCUCCUGCUCCAGUGAGACCACCUUGCUCAGGGGCUUGGUCAAAGUCCUUCCUUACCUGCAGCGUCUGGGCCACCGGCCGCCCUUCGAGACGUCCAUGGCUGCUCCUUGCAGACUGAAGACACACCUGCAAAACGGCAACUAAUCACCAAGCUGUUUGAAAAUAGUUGCCAUCCCCUGCAACUGUAAAUGUAUCUCCUGAACGACUUAAUUUUCUCUGUGCCAGAGGUAUCUGCCACUUUCUGCCACGCUCAGCAAACGCGCAUCUUUCUGCCCAUAACCCCCGCGUUAAGGCUUAGCAAAAGGCCUGCUCGCCUCGCCCGCUCCGCGCAGACGUGGCCACGGCUCCCCGGCGGGGUGCUUGCAGGGGACCGGAGGGGAGCCUUGGAAAAGUGCUGAGCUGUUUCUUCCCCACCUACUGGGCACUGAACUCCACAGCUAGGCAGCAUCCCGCUGAAAUUCCCUCCUAUACGGCGCUUAGCUUGGCUGAAAGCUUCGUGAGCCUGAGCGAGGUUUGGGUUUGUGAUCAUAUCCAAAAUUGGAUACGUUUUGCCAGGGUUUUGCUAUGAAAAUUGCUCACAGCUCCAUUGACUGGCUGUGCUGCCUCUGCAGCAUCAAUUCUAUCCCUGGCUGACACCUUUGAUUUUGGAAGUUGUCUCCAUUUUCCAGAGAAAAGUAUGUACAUCAGCUAUUUUUGGAUAGCGUAUAUUUAAUCUCCUGCAAGAAAUGGAGCAAUUCACUUGUUCCUUAUUUCCAGAGCCAUUACAUUUCUCUCAGUGACAGCUCCAAGGAACAGAAAUCUUUACCUUAUUUAAUGUCUCCAUUUGGGUGAUCGAAAGACACCUAACCAAAGAUCCGCUUCUGCACCACCGUGAGGGAAAUAGCAGGCAGCACUGUCCAGGUAAAACAGCUUCUCUCUCAUCUUGGGUAAAGGGAAUGUUGAAAAGGAGCUGGUUUUUGGAUGGUUCUUGUGCCUGCUUGGAAGCCAAAUUAAAACGCUGCUGGCUGUU